rnacentral:tRNA from 1 species
UAAGCAGAAGCUAAUUCAAUAGCAUCUAACUGUUACUUAGAACAAAGUCCAAUAUAGACCUGCUUAA